rfam:Pan troglodytes isolate Yerkes chimp pedigree #C0471 (Clint) chromosome 22, whole genome shotgun sequence.
CUUGGUAGUAGAGUAGGGCUCCCUUUUCACACGCUUUUUGGAAGGCUUCUUCGAGUCACCUAGGGGAU